AAUAUGGUAAUCAUUCAGGUCAAGGCAUGUAUUGGUUAAGCAAUAAGGUACCACACAGUACCUUUGUAUGGAUUAAAAAGUACAAAUGAAAGUUUUUCUUUCCUAUAGAUCUUACGAUCAAAACGAAACAACAAUGGAAGCCCCUCAAGGUAAAACUAAGUGUUCUCUUAGUAGAGCUGGACGUUUGCGCACUUGCACAAUCAUGAGUAACUAAACUUGUCAAUGAUCUGAAGACAAGAUGAAUAAAAGAUACAUUUUUGCCAACUUACCUCAUUAGUUUGGUCACUCGAGACGUUAUUGUUGUAACAGACAACUUGAAUGGGCUUCAACUCCAGCGCUUCGGUCAUGCUUCCACAGUCACUAUCCCAACCUGCGGAAAGUCCCGGAACUGAGGCUUAUAAAAGACGGGUUGCGAAAACAUUUCACCGGAUUUGUGUUUUGGUUAGUAAACACUGUUCCCAUUUGUUACAUUUAGCAAAUAAAGGAUAAAUAAGUUGAUUGCAGGUUUCUUUUCAAUGUGGAUGCGGCUGAUAAUGAUAUACCUACAGGUGAAAUAAGUGUUAAAGAGCGUCUCGUAUUUCAGUUAGAAGGAAUGUAUGUGUAAAGUGAAACUAAACUGAAGUAGCAACAAACCACCAAAACACUCCAAACCUAGCACCAAUGAAAAAAAUACAAUAGUAAACGACACGCCACAUUUGUGUCUAUUUGCUGUGAAGAAAAUUGAAAUAGGAAGUGAAAUCGAAUACAACUACGGUGAUUCACAAUGGCCGUGGCGUAAAAAGGAGCCAAAGCAGCAGACUUCUGUUAUAGAGACCAAAACAUCCCUAACAGAUCACUCUUCCCAUGAUGCCUCCAACAAAGAUGCUGUCGUCACGCAGGAGCCAAAGCAGGUAUUUACCAUCAAAGGGUUUUUCUCUAGUGAACUAUACCGAAAUGAUGAGACGUGAUGAGUAUAUUAAAGACAACCCUCCCAGUCCACACUGUGAUGUUGUUCGAAAGAAGACGAGGAAUGGAAACAUUCAGGUGAUUGGAGUAGCUGAUUUUUCUGAUCCUCUGAUUGACUCAAAUGAGAGUAUAGUAGAUGAAACUGAUGAGGAUUCUAGUCUGCAGUCAGACAAUGAAGUUGUUCCAAAAAAUUUUUUGAUGGAUAGAGUACCAAAUUGUUCUGUUCCUCUUAAUGAGUCAAGUGAUGACAGCAUAGAUGAGCCUUCCACUCCUAUGUCUGGAAUGGCUUCACAAAGGCCGAGGAGAAACUGUCACCGUCCUGUAAGCCUAAUUUUUUCAUACAUUAUAUCACUUAAUGGUUAGUGCUAACUAACGCAGUGUGGGCGGCGUCAGAUGUUUAACGAUACACCGCUGAUCAUGUACUUAAAAACAAUUUUACCCCCAAGCGAAAUACAAGAAAACUUCGCCUUAUAUCGAGUAUAUCGGGGCCUUUACUCUCCUCACGUAAUAAGUGAAAACUUUGUUCAUAUUGGACCUCGAUCUAACAGCUUUGUGUAACGAUAAAGGUAAACAUUUAUAAAAUAUAUUUUUAUUUUAUUUUAAUAUUUUAUUUUAAAUAUUUUUAUAGCCUGUGAUGUGAUUAGAGGAGACAAAUGCGCAUCUCCAGAAACUUGAGCCUUAAAUACAGUUUAUAGUCAAAUCAGAAUCAGAAAGUUUUAUUGCCAAGUACGCUUGCGCAUACAAGGAAUUUGUUUUAGUGACAUAAGCUUCCAGUUCACAGAGACGACAAAAAAAAAGGCAAAUAAAUAAGUGUAUAAACAAUUGUGCUAUAAAUGAUAAUGGAGUUGGAUUGAGUAAGAUGCCGGGAUGUACUAGGAUGCAGGGAUAACAAAUAAAUAUAAGGAUAUUGCACAUUUGUAUUGCACAAGUGGGGAACAUUUAACUGUUCAUGAGGUAGAUUGCCUGGGGGAAGAAACUGUUCUUGUGCCUGGCUGUUCUGGUAUUUGCAGUUCUGAAGCGCCGGCCAGAUGUCAAAAGUUCAAAGAUGGGGUAACUUGGAUGAGAGGGAUCCAGAGUGAUUUUCUGAGCCCUUUUCCUCACUCAGUGUAUACAGUUCUUGAAGGGUGGGCAGGGGAGCACCAAUAAUUCUUUCAGCAGUCCGAACCGUUCUCUGUAGUCUUCUGAUGUCUGAUUUUGUAGCUGAACCGAACCAGACAGUAAUUGAAGUACACAGGACAGACUCAAUGACGGCUGAGUAGAACUGCUUCAGCAGCUCCUGUGGCAGGUUAAACUUCCUCAGCUGGCGAAGGAAGUACAACCUUUGUUGGGCCUUUUUAACAAUGGAGUCAAUGUGAUUGUCCCACUUCAGGUCCUGAAUCUGAAUGACUCCACUGACUCUGAAUGGUUUGUAUAUGUAU
rnacentral:lncRNA from 1 species